UGGCGGCGUGCUUAACACAUGCAAGUCGAACGUGUUUUUAUGGAAGGACCUUCGGGGACGGAAAUAAAAUGAAAGUGGCGAACGGGUGAGUAACACGUGAGCAACCUACCUUACACAGGGGGAUAGCCGUUGGAAACGACGAUUAAUACCGCAUGAGACCACAAUACUGCAUGGUAUAGGGGUCAAAGAUUUAUCGAUGUAAGAUGGGCUCGCGUCUGAUUAGCUAGUUGGAAGGGUAAAGGCCUACCAAGGCGACGAUCAGUAGCCGGUCUGAGAGGAUGAACGGCCACACUGGAACUGAGACACGGUCCAGACUCCUACGGGAGGCAGCAGUGGGGAAUAUUGCACAAUGGGGGAAACCCUGAUGCAGCGACGCCGCGUGAGCGAAGAAGGUUUUCGAAUCGUAAAGCUCUGUCCUAUGAGAAGA
rnacentral:rRNA from 1 species